CCCCUAGAUGUUCUGGGCCGCACGCGCGCUACACUGAACAGUUCAACAAGUCUUAACCUUGGCCGAUAGGUCUGGGUAAUCUUUGAACGCUGUUCGUGAUUGGGAUAGACCUUUGCAAUUAUGGGUCUUCAACGAGGAAUUCCUAGUAAACGCAAGUCAUCAGCUUGCAUUGAUUACGUCCCUGCCCUUUGUACGCACCGCCCGUCGCACCUACCGAUUGAAUGGUCCGGUGAAAUCUCGGGACGGCGGCUUGGUCGCUUGCGUCCGACUGCUGAAACUUGAUUAAACCAUAUCAUUUAGAGGAAGGUGAANUCGUANCA
rnacentral:rRNA from 1 species